rnacentral:lncRNA from 1 species
UUUCUUUUGAACUAGACCACCAUUUUUACCUUGUGGGUGAAUUAGCUUAAUAUUCAUUUUAAAAAAACCUAUGAAGAUUAUAGCACUAUAACAUAAAAAAAUAAAGGAAGUAACCAUCUUAGACCAUGUUUAAUAGUGACACUCAUUAAAGUGUCUAAAACUAUUAUGUCUUACAUGAAUUUAUUUUUUUAGACACCCACAAAA